GUGGGGAAUAUUGCACAAUGGGCGGAAGCCUGAUGCAGCGACGCCGCGUGGGGGAUGACGGCCUUCGGGUUGUAAACUCCUUUCGACAGGGACGAAGCGCAAGUGACGGUACCUGUAUAAGAAGCACCGGCUAACUACGUGCCAGCAGCCGCGGUAAUACGUAGGGUGCGAGCGUUGUCCGGAAUUACUGGGCGUAAAGAGCUCGUAGGUGGUUUGUCGCGUCGUCUGUGAAAUUCCGGGGCUUAACUCCGGGCGUGCAGGCGAUACGGGCAUAACUUGAGUGCUGUAGGGGAGACUGGAAUUCCUGGUGUAGCGGUGAAAUGCGCAGAUAUCAGGAGGAACACCGAUGGCGAAGGCAGGUCUCUGGGCAGUUACUGACGCUGAGGAGCGAAAGCAUGGGUAGCGAACAGG
rnacentral:rRNA from 1 species